AGAGACCAUGUAUGUGUGCAGUCAAACUACAAUAACCUCACUGUGAGUAGCUGAAGCACCGCAGGUCAAAGGACCAGUCAUACUACUGCAACAUCAAGCAAGUCACUGACGAGUGGAUAGACAUCCAAGUGACUUCUUGUCUUGGUCACGCUCAGUACCCUUGUUCUGUAACAAGCACCUGCACUAUCACUUCAGUGUCCCUACACUGUGGACUCAAGUCUCGUCCAUCCAGAAGGAAAGUGAUCUGUGCACUGAUCGGAUCGAUCACCGUCCUCGUGAUGAUCCAUUGAUCAGGA
rnacentral:lncRNA from 1 species